UACGGAGGGGGCUAGCGUUGUUCGGAAUUACUGGGCGUAAAGCGUGCGCAGGCGGCUAUGCAAGACAGAUGUGAAAUCCCCGGGCUCAACCUGGGAACUGCAUUUGUGACUGCAUAGCUAGAGUACGGUAGAGGAUGGCGGAAUUCCCGGUGUAGCAGUGAAAUGCGUAGAGAUCGGGAGGAACACCGAUGGCGAAGGCAAUCCCCUGGACCUGUACUGACGCUCAUGCACGAAAGCGUGGGGAGCAAACAGG
rnacentral:rRNA from 1 species